AUUGAACGCUGGCGGCAGGCCUAACACAUGCAAGUCGAGCGGAUGAAGGGAGCUUGCUCCUGGAUUCAGCGGCGGACGGGUGAGUAAUGCCUAGGAAUCUGCCUGGUAGUGGGGGAUAACGUCCGGAAACGGGCGCUAAUACCGCAUACGUCCUGAGGGAGAAAGUGGGGGAUCUUCGGACCUCACGCUAUCAGAUGAGCCUAGGUCGGAUUAGCUAGUUGGUGGGGUAAAGGCCUACCAAGGCGACGAUCCGUAACUGGUCUGAGAGGAUGAUCAGUCACACUGGAACUGAGAGACGGUCCAGACUCCUACGGGAGGCAGCAGUGGGGAAUAUUGGACAAUGGGCGAAAGCCUGAUCCAGCCAUGCCGCGUGUGUGAAGAAGGUCUUCGGAUUGUAAAGCACUUUAAGUUGGGAGGAAGGGCAGUAAGUUAAUACCUGGCUGUUUUGACGUUACCAACAGAAUAAGCACCGGCUAACUUCGU
rnacentral:rRNA from 1 species